rnacentral:rRNA from 1 species
GACGAACGCUGGCGGCGUGCCUAAUACAUGCAAGUCGAACGCUUCUUUCCUCCCGAGUGCUUGCACUCAAUUGGAAAGAGGAGUGGCGGACGGGUGAGUAACACGUGGGUAACCUACCCAUCAGAGGGGGAUAACACUUGGAAACAGGUGCUAAUACCGCAUAACAGUUUAUGCCGCAUGGCAUAAGAGUGAAAGGCGCUUUCGGGUGUCGCUGACGGAUGGACCCGCGGUGCAUUAGCUAGUUGGUGAGGUAACGGCUCACCAAGGCCACGAUGCAUAGCCGACCUGAGAGGGUGAUAGGCCACAUGGGGACUGAGACACGGCCCUGACUCCUACGGGAGGCAGCAGUAGGGAAUCUUCGGCAAUGGACGAAAGUCUGACCGAGCAGCGCCGCGUGAGUGAAGAAGGUUUUCGGAUCGUAAAACUCUGUUGUUAGAGAAGAACAAGGACGUUAGUAACUGAACGUCCCCUGACGGUAUCUAACCAGAAAGCCACGGCUAACUACGUG